GACGAACGCUGGCGGCGUGCUUAACACAUGCAAGUCGAGCGAUGAAGCACCUUCGGGUGUGGAUUAGCGGCGAACGGGUGAGGAACACGUGAGGAAUCUGCCUUCCACUCUGGGAUAACUCCGGGCAACCGGGGCUAAUACCGGAUACUUUCAACUGGCGGCAGCGCCGGUUGAAGAACGUUUUUCGGUGGAAGAGGACCUCGCGGCCUAUCAGGUGGUUGGUGAGGUAAUGGCUCACCAAUGCGACGACGGGGAGCCGGCCUGGGAGGGCGACCGGCCACACUGGGACUGAGACACGGCCCAGACUCCUACGGGAGGCAGCAGUGGGGAAUAUUGGGCAAUGGAGGAAACUCUGACCCAGCGACGCCGCGUGAGGGAUGAAGGCCUUCGGGUUGUAAACCUCUUUCAGCAGGGAAUAAGCGAAAGUGAAGGUACCUGCAGAAGAAGCACCGGCUAACUAUGUGCCAGCCGCCGCCGUAA
rnacentral:rRNA from 1 species